AUACGGAGGGUGCAAGCGUUAAUCGGAAUUACUGGGCGUAAGGCGCGCGUAGGCGGCUGAUUAAGUCGGAUGUGAAAUCCCUGGGCUCAACCUAGGAACUGCAUCCGAUACUGGUCAGCUAGAGUUUUGGAGAGGUAAGUGGAAUUUCCGGUGUAGCGGUGAAAUGCAUAGAGAUCGGAAGGAACACCAGUGGCGAAGGCGACUUACUGGCCAAAAACUGACGCUGAGGUGCGAAAGCGUGGGUAGCGAACAGGAUUAGAAACCCUAGUAGUCC
rnacentral:rRNA from 1 species